UUUGGUUUUAAACAGUUUAGGAAUUAGGGGCCAAAAAAGGGCCCAAAUAAGCAUUAUUCUUGGUUUUCGCACUAUAACUUUAGUUUAAGUAAAAUAGAAAUCAAUGAAAUUUAAACACAAGGUUUAUGACCACAAAAGGAAGGUUGGUAUUGAUUUUGGGAGUUGAGGUCUGAACAGUUUAGGAAUUAGGGGCCAAAAAGGGGCCCAAGUAAGCAUUAUUCUUGGUUUUCGCACCAUAACUUUAGUUUAAGUAAAUAGAAAUCUAUGAAAUUUAAACACAAGGUUUAUGACCACUAAAGGAAGG
rnacentral:lncRNA from 1 species